rnacentral:SRP_RNA from 1 species
CCUGGUGUUGUAUCCCUGUAAUUCCAGCUACCAAAGAGCCUGAUACUGGAAGAUCUCUGGAGCUCAGGAAUUCUGAGCUACAGUGACUUAGGCCAAUCAGGUGUCUGCACUAAUUUUGGCAUUCACAUAGUGAGGCCCCAGGAGCAGAAGUUAUUUAAAGAGGGGCAAAGUGGCCCAAGUCAGAAAUAGUGCAGGUCAAAGCCUCCAUGCUAUUGUGUAGGAAGAUCAGGCCUGUGAUCAGCCCUUGUACUUUUAGCCUGAAAGUGAUGUAGAGACCCAGUCUUAU